GACGAACGCUGGCGGCGUGCCUAAUACAUGCCAGUUGAGCGCUGAAGGUUGGUACUUGUACCGACUGGAUGAGCAGCGAACGGGUGAGUAACGCGUGGGGAAUCUGCCUUUGAGCGGGGGACAACAUUUGGAAACGAAUGCUAAUACCGCAUAAAAACUUUAAACACAAGUUUUAAGUUUGAAAGAUGCAAUUGCAUCACUCAAAGAUGAUCCCGCGUUGUAUUAGCUAGUUGGUGAGGUAAAGGCUCACCAAGGCGAUGAUACAUAGCCGACCUGAGAGGGGGAUCGGCCACAUUGGGACUGAGACACGGCCCAAACUCCUACGGGAGGCAGCAGUAGGGAAUCUUCGGCAAUGGACGAAAGUCUGACCGAGCAACGCCGCGUGAGUGAAGAAGGUUUUCGGAUCGUAAAACUCUGUUGGUAGAGAAGAACGUUGGUGAGAGUGGAAAGCUCAUCAAGUGACGGUAACUACCCAGAAAGGGACGGCUAACUACGUG
rnacentral:rRNA from 1 species